UUUCCGUAGGUGAACCUGCGGAAGGAUCAUUCAUAAUAAAGUGUUUUAUGGCACUUUUUAAAAAUCCAUAUCCACCUUGUGUGCAAUGUUAGAUCUCGUCAAUCUUGGCGAGGUUUUUAUACAUCAACUCAUUCUUUAACUAAUUUGUCUGAAAAAUAUCAUGGAUACUUAAUUCAAAAUACAACUUUCAACAACGGAUCUCUUGGCUCUC
rnacentral:misc_RNA from 1 species